UACGAAGGGUGCGAGCGUUGUUCGGAAUUACUGGGCGUAAAGGGUGUGUAGGUGGACAGGUAAGAUAGCGGUGAAAUGCCGGGGCUUAACUUCGGAAUUGCCGUUAUGACUAUUUAUCUAGAGUGACAGAGAGGAUAUUGGAAUACCCAGUGUAGUGGUGAAAUUCGUAGAUAUUGGGUAGAACACCAGUGGCGAAGGCGAGUAUCUGGCUGUUAACUGACACUGAGGCACGAAAGCAUGGGGAUCAAAC
rnacentral:rRNA from 1 species